rnacentral:rRNA from 1 species
GACGAACGCUGGCGCCGUGCUUAACACAUGCAAGUCGAGCGAGAAACCUUCGGGUUUCUAGCGGCGGACGUGUGAGUAACACGUUGGUAACCUGCCUCAAAGAGGGGGAUAGCCUUCCGAAAGGCAGCUUAAUACCGCAUAAUAUUACAGUUUCGCAUGAAGCAGUAAUUAAAGGAGUAAUCCGCUUUGAGAUGGACCCGCGGCGCAUUAGCUAGUUGGAGAGGUAACGGCUCACCAAGGCAACGAUGCGUAGCCGACCUGAGAGGGUGAUCGCCCACAUUGGAACUGAGACACGGUCCAGACUCCUACGGGAGGCAGCAGUGGGGAAUAUUGCACAAUGGGCGAAAGCCUGAUGCAGCAACGCCGCGUGAGUGAUGAAGGUCUUCGGAUUGUAAAGCUCUGUCUUUUGGGACGAUAAUGACGGUACCAAAGGAGGAAGCCACGGCUAACUACGUGCCAGCCGCCGCAGUAA